rnacentral:rRNA from 1 species
AGUGAACGCUGGCGGUAGGCCUAACACAUGCAAGUCGAACGGCAGCACAGGAGAGCUUGCUCUCUGGGUGGCGAGUGGCGGACGGGUGAGGAAUACAUCGGCAUCUACUUUUUCGUGGGGGAGAACGUAGGGAAACUUACGCUACGCCCGCAUACGACCUACGGGUGAAAGCAGGGGACUUUCGGGCCUGGCGCGAUUGAAUGAGCCGAGGUCGGAUUAGCAAGUUGGCGGGGUAAAGGCCCACCAAGGCGACGAGCCGUAGCUGGUCUGAGAGGAUGAUCAGCCACACUGGAACUGGGACACGGUCCAGACUCCUACGGGAGGCAGCAGUGGGGAAUAUUGGACAAUGGGCGCAAGCCUGAUCCAGCCAUACCGCGUGGGUGAAGAAGGCCUUCGGGUUGUAAAGCCCUUUUGUUGGGAAAGAAAUCCAGCUGGCUAAUACCCGGUUGGGAUGACGGUACCCAAAGAAUAAGCACCGGCUAACUUCGUGCCAGCCGCCGCCGUAA